rnacentral:rRNA from 1 species
UACGAGCGCCUCGAGCGUUAUCCGGAAUUAUUGGGCGUAAAGGGUGCGUAGGUUGUUCUGUUAGUCUUUUGUCAAAGCCCCGGGCUUAACCUGGGACACGCGAAAGAAACGGCAGAGCUUGAAAGUGCGAGAGGUAUACAGAACUCAUGGUGUAGGGGUGAAAUCCGUUGAUAUCAUGGGGAAUACCAAAUGCGAAGGCAGUAUACUGGCGCAUAUUUGACACUGAAGCACGAAAGCGUGGGUAGCGAAUGGG